GAUGAACGCUGGUGGCGUGCAUAACACAUUCAAGUCGAACGGAGCUUUUUGAAUUAAUCCUUCGGGAAGCGUUUAGGAAGCUUAGUGGCGGACGGGUGAGUAACGCGUGAGCAACCUGCCUCUGUAUGAGGGAUAACGUUUGGAAACGGACGCUAAUACCUCAUAACACAUAUUUACCGCAUGGUAGAUAUGUCAAAGAUUUAUUGUACAGAGAUGGGCUCGCGUCUGAUUAGAUAGUUGGCAGGGUAACGGCCUACCAAGUCGACGAUCAGUAGCCGGACUGAGAGGUUGAACGGCCACAUUGGAACUGAGAUACGGUCCAGACUCCUACGGGAGGCAGCAGUGGGGAAUAUUGGGCAAUGGGGCGAAAGCCUGACCCAGCGACGCCGCGUGAAGGAAGAAGGGCCUUCGGGUUGUAAACUUCUGUUGUAAGGGACGAAACGAAAAUGACGGUACCUGACUAAGAAGCUCCGGCUAAUAACGUG
rnacentral:rRNA from 1 species